rnacentral:rRNA from 1 species
AGGACGCUUCCUUCGGGAAGCGAGCGUACACAGGUGCUGCAUGGCUGUCGACAGCUCGUGUCGUGAGAUGUUGGGUUAAGUCCGUAACGAGCGCAACCCUUGUCCUUAGUUACCAGCACGUUAUGGUGGGCACUCUAAGGAGACUGCCGGUGACAAACCGGAGGAAGGUGGGGAUGACGUCAAGUCAUCAUGGCCCUUACGGCCUGGGCUACACACGUGCUACAAUGGUCGGUACAAAGGGUUGCCAAGCCGCGAGGUGGGGCUAAUCCCAUAAAACCGAUCGUAGUCCGGAUCGCAGUCUGCAACUCGACUGCGUGAAGUCGGAAUCGCUAGUAAUCGUGAAUCAGAAUGUCACGGUGAAUACGUUCCCGGGCCUU